rnacentral:lncRNA from 1 species
GUGACCCAGAAGGUGCUGGCUCCCCACGAAGAGGCAGCUGCAGAACACAGAAGAGCCAGCAUCAGCUCCUCAGCCACCUGGGCCAUGGCGAGCCUUCCAACAAGCAAGAUUCUACGUAUUUAUCUGACAUGGAGAGAGCGAGUGAGAGUGCACAAUCGGGAGGGAGAAGCAGAUUCCCCACUGAGCAGGGAGCACGCCACAGGAAUUGAUCCCAGGACUCUGGGAUCAUGACCUGAGCAGAAGGCAGACGCUGGACAGACUGAGCCACCCAGGCACCUGGACAUUAUCUUUCACAUACGGAACAGCGAAGCAUCUGGAAGUGAUUUUUUAGGGAUGCUCUAAGAGAAGCAUCAGGAUUAAUUUUUUCUAUCAAAAUUUACUGAAAAUUUUAUUAAUCUCCCAACUCCCUUGCCUGUCAUGUCACCUUUAUCAUAAAUUAAAUGAUUGUGCAU